rnacentral:rRNA from 1 species
GAUGAACGCUGGCGGCGUGCCUAAUACAUGCAAGUCGAACGAAUCUUCUUCGGAAGAUGAGUGGCGAACGGGUGAGUAAUACAUAGGUAACCUGCCCCUGUGCGGGGGAUAACAGGAGGAAACUCCUGCUAAUACCGCAUAGCCAUGAGCACCGCAUGGAGCUCAUGCCAAAUAUCCUUUCGGGGAUAGCGCAGGGAUGGACCUAUGGCGCAUUAGCUGGUUGGCGGGGCAACGGCCCACCAAGGCAACGAUGCGUAGCCGGCCUGAGAGGGCGGACGGCCACAUUGGGACUGAGACACGGCCCAGACUCCUACGGGAGGCAGCAGUAGGGAAUUUUCGGCAAUGGGGGAAACCCUGACCGAGCAACGCCGCGUGAGCGAAGAAGGCCUUCGGGUCGUAAAGCUCUGUUGUAAAGGAAGAACGGCGCAUACAGGAAAUGGUAUGCGAGUGACGGUACUUUACCAGAAAGCCACGGCUAACUACGUGCCAGCAGCCGCGGUAACAC